rnacentral:lncRNA from 1 species
AUGAUUCCAAUCCCGGGAAUUGGUCUGGAGGUCGGAGAGGCGGGAGGCUCCGUGCUGGCCGCGCUCCGGUCUCGGCACAUCCCAAACCGGAUCAUCCGGCCCCGCCGCCCUCCGGCACAGCCCCCGGGGAUCCGGCACAUCCCAGGGAACAGCCUCGGCCUCUCCCUUCAGCUUCACCUAAAAAAUCCUCCUCACUGGAACCAAACUCCCAAAUGGUGGCAAAACUCAUGGAAAACAGGAGCUAAAUCCAUGGUGUGCCUCCAACUGGGAUCAUCCCCGGGAGCACCUUCCCUGAGCGCCUGGAAACAGGAACCUGGAGCCGGGGGAGAGCCAAAAUUCCAGAGGCUGCCGGAGUGGGAUGAGCGGGGUCGGCUGGACCGGCCUUGGAACGCUUUCCAGGAAUCCCGGUGUGCCGGACGCGGCCUCACUCCGUCCCGACGGCGAUUCCCAACUCUCCGUGGGGACGCUGCUCCGGCACCACGCGCUCCCCGGCACGUUCCGCUGGCUCCGGGCGCUUCUCCCGCUCCGAAGGGCCCGGCAGGACGGGUUUGGCAUUCGCAGACAAACAAAGCAGCACCUCGUUUUCCAUGGAUAUUGGAUGCGGCGCCCACAGGGGAAAAAAAAAAUCCAGCCCAGAAAAAAAAACCAACUCCUCAGCGGGAGGAUUUGAAAAGCUGGAACGAGCCAGUUGGGCCAAAAGAAGGAAUAUUCCAGGAAAAAGUGGGAAUAUCCAGGGAGAGAUGCAGCCAGGAGGGAAAAUAUCCUGGGAUUUACCCAAUCCAGAACCAAGACUUGGCAGCACCAGGAGUUCAUUCCAGCUGGAGUUUAUCCAGGGAGGUCCCAGCCCCUUCCCAGCCUCCUUGGAGGGUUUUCCGUUGGGUCAAUCCCCACGUUGGUCUUCCAGCCCCAAUUCCCAGCCUCGGAGCCUCCGGAGCUCAUGGAGGGGCUGUAAUUCCUGAUCCAGGAGCAGGAAUGAUCCCUGACCCGCCAGGAACAAUCCCUGAUCCACAAGGAGCGAUCCCUGACCCGCCAGGAACAAUCCCUGAUCCACCAGGAGCGAUCCCUGACCCGCCAGGAACAAUCCCUGAUCCACCAGGAACAAUCCCUGAUNNNNNNNNNNCUGACCCGCCAGGAACAAUCCCUGAUCCACCAGGAACAAUCCCUGAUCCACCAGGAACAAUCCCUGAUCCACCAGGAACAAUCCCUGAUCCACAAGGAGCGAUCCCUGAUCCACAAGGAGCGAUCCCUGAUCCGCCAGGAACAAUCCCUGACCAACCAGGAACAAUCCCUGACCAACCAGGAACAAUCCCUGAUCCGCCAGGAACAAUCCCUGAUCCACAAGGAGCGAUCCCUGAUCCACAAGGAACAAUCCCUGAUCCACCAGGAGCGAUCCCUGACCCCCACGAGGGAUCCACGUGUCCCCAGUCCCGCGAGGUCUCCCCGGGGCCCUCCUGUUUCCCAAUCCCGCCGGGGCUGAGGUGGAUCCCUGGGAUCCAGGGGAGCGAGGAUGGGAAAUCAGGGCUAAACCAGCCCAGCUGCUCCUUGGGAAGCCUCUGGUAUUCCAUGGAAGAGGCGCCUGCAGUGGGCUCAGGGGACCCACAGCAUCUCCCAAUUUCCAUAUGGGGCUGGAAUGCCAGAAUUAAUCCCAGGGAAGACCCAGAAUCCAAUCCCAACGUGACCCUGACGCUCCACGGGGCAUCCAACCCCGGAGCCAAGGUGCUCCGAGCAGCUCCAGCUCCAUCCCAGUCGCUCCAAACCCAGGACAUCACUCGGAUGUGA